rnacentral:tRNA from 1 species
AGGGUUGUGGCUCAGUGGUAGAGUACUUGCCUAGCAUACAUGAGGCCCUGGGUUGGAUCCUCAGCACCACUU